rnacentral:ncRNA from 1 species
UCGAAUGGAAUUAAAAGGGAAUCCCGGUGAAAAUCCGGAGCUGUACUCGCAGCUGUAAGUCCCAUUAAAGUUUAUCGCACUCUUUGCCACUGGUGAAAGCUGGGAAGGCGCGAUAAGCGGGAUGAGCCAGAAGACCUGCUUGAUGAGAUA